CCUACGGGCGGCAGCAGUCGAGAAUCAUUCACAAUGGGGGAAACCCUGAUGGUGCGACGCCGCGUGGGGGAAUGAAGGUCUUCGGAUUGUAAACCCCUGUCAUGUGGGAGCAAAUUAAAAAGAUAGUACCACAAGAGGAAGAGACGGCUAACUCUGUGCCAGCAGCCGCGGUAAUACAGAGGUCUCAAGCGUUGUUCGGAAUCACGGGGCGUAAAGCGUGCGUAGGCUGUUUCGUAAGUCGUGUGUGAAAGGCGCGGGCUCAACCCGCGGACGGCACAUGAUACUGCGAGACUAGAGUAAUGGAGGGGGAACCGGAAUUCUCGGUGUAGCAGUGAAAUGCGUAGAUAUCGAGAGGAACACUCGUGGCGAAGGCGGGUUGCUGGACAGUAACUGACGCUGAGGCACGAAGGCCAGGGGAGCGAAAGGGAUUAGAUACCCCUGUAGUC
rnacentral:rRNA from 1 species